ACGGAAGGCAGCAGUGGGGAAUAUUGGGCAAUGGGCGAAAGCCUGACCCAGCAACGCCGCGUGAAGGAAGAAGGUCUUCGGAUUGUAAACUUCUUUUAUGAGGGACGAAUUAAGUGACGGUACCUCAUGAAUAAGCCACGGCUAACUACGUUCCAGCAGCCGCGGUAAUACGUAGGUGGCAAGCGUUAUCCGGAUCUACUGGGUGUAAAGGGCGCGUAGGCGGGGAUGCAAGUCAGAUGUGAAAUCUAUGGGCUUAACUCAUAAACUGCAUUUGAAACUGUAUCUCUUGAGUGCUGGAGAGGUAGAUGGAAUUCCUUGUGUAGCGGUGAAAUGCGUAGAUAUAAGGAAGAACACCAGUGGCGAAGGCGAUCUACUGGACAGUAACUGACGCUGAGGCGCGAAAGCGUGGGUAGCAAACAGGAUUAGAUACCCUGGUA
rnacentral:rRNA from 1 species